rnacentral:lncRNA from 1 species
UGCAUAUGCUAUUUCACUUUUUUACUGAGAAUAUACUCUUUGAACUAAUACAUGUACAUUGGAUAUUCUCCUAUUGGAUUGCUUCGAUAAAAUUGUUUGCACAUUUUAGGACAAUGUUUUCCUACGUAAUAUUUGAAAAGAUGACACUGUUUUUUCCCCUCCCUUUUCCAGUAAAGAACUAACUAAAUACAUUCCAAAACGCAGGUGUUUGCAGUGCAGAGAACAUCCCUACGCAGCCAUUAUUCCCGCACAGUAUAUGUCGGCUGAGGUUAAUUAUCAUGCAUAUAUCCAUAUAUCAGAAGAACAUGCUUGCCAGAAAAGCCAGAACAGAUGCCUGUUGACCAGGGUUCUUGAGCGUGGCGACCACUUAACAGUGCACUGGAGAGAUCAAAGGAGGUACGCACACAUUACUGAUCAUCUUCUUCUUAUACAUAUAUGAUAGCAAGACACGUACUGGUCCAGUCUCCAGUCCACCCAUGCCCCCAUCCAGCGUGUUGCAGGGCCAUGAAUUUGAUGACGCCGGGCCGAAACGCACACACCAAACACAUGUAUACAAAGGAACAUAUAUAGGUGUAGUACUCGAGUUAAUUAAGCCACAGCUAGCGAAGUUCUUCCCCUUGCAUGGUCCCAACAAGGGAGCUAAGAUGGAUCGAUGGAGAAGAUUAUGUGCAUGGCAGGGCAUGCUGGGCACGGACUCCGAGGGAAUGAUGGCGCGUCGCGUUCAUGCAAUGGUCCUUCUCCUGCCCUUCCCUGCGUUUCCAGCCAGGAGGGGCUCCAUGAUCGCAGGCAGGGCGUCAGAUGCACACAUGAUGAGACCCAGGUUUCAGCUGCCUGCCAGCUGAAUGAACAACCUAGCUAGGCGUUGUUUUCAGGGAGGGGGCAUGUUGCUGUCAGUGUGUGGGCGAUGCUGCAGGCAGAAUAUUCAUUCCAUUUGAGAUUAUGUGGGUAUUCAGGAACGUCUCACUCUCAGGCUGGUCAGUGAAAUCUCCUUCGAUCGUUUCUUGCACGUUCCAGAAAAAUCAUUGUCUUACAUUCAGUUCGGAGAGAAGUAAUUUAAGCCCGUAUAUAAUUAGUUUGAAGCUUAGGAAUCCUGGAGGAGCAUUAGGUAUUUAUGUUCCUCUGUGAAAUUCCUAAACAAACCCUCUAAUUCCUAUUGCCCUUGUACUUGUUACAGCGUGUUGAAUUACUGUGCGCCAGGUUAGUUCCACAGUACCACAGCUUCCGGUGAUGCAGCUCAUCAGAGACCACGCAUGCCAUGCAGUACUGGGGCAGCUAGCUAGCCCAGGCUAGCUACUAGCAACUGCUGGAAUCUGAUCAUAACACCUUGCAAUGCAAAGCAGGACGGAAACAAAAAGGAAAUAAUUUGUAUCUUUCCUUGGAUCCCUCUGCCCAUCUUUUCUUUCAUGAAGAUUUGUGAAAGCAAGCAAAGCCAUGGUCGCAUCACAUUCAGUAGAUGCAGGUUGCAGGGAAUGGAACAGGACGCUCGCUUAUGUGUGCCCUGCGAAGCCGUUAUCUCUCUGCAGAGUGGGUGACAAACAAACAUAGGAGACAACAAGAAGAAGAUGAUGAGUCGUCAAUUCCACUGCAUGCUGCAUGCAGCUUCUGCCAGUGAAUGAAUGAGCGAAUGAAUUGACAUAAAGGGCGCGGACAAACCGGGCACUCAAAGGCUGAUUUGGCAGGUUAUGUUUGUUGAUGCUGCACAAAAGAUGGGAAUCAAAUAUAUAUGCACGAGAGCUUUGCAGAAAAUUUCUUCCGUUAUCAUCUGCAGAGUUAAGAGACUCGUAAAUUUGGAAUGCCUGGCUAGCUAAUUGGUCAUCUCAUGCUCGUGGGAUAGUAGGGAAUAAGUUGGAUGAAGCGCCAUCCUUUCUUCUGACAUAUAGCUGCUGAGUCAUCACCUUUGACAUGGCUGCCGAAAAUAUUUAUAUCACCAAACCCUUGCUUGUCGCUAAGCACAGUCUGUCUGUAGCAAGAUAAGAACGGCACCAAAGGAGACAGGUGACAAGCAAAAGCCCUCCAUCCAUGUUUCAAGGGGAGCAACCAUUCGAGGUUGGGAAGAGUAAACAAUCAAAUUCUAUUUGGCCUGUUGCUGAUUGGAUAAAACCAAGCUUACCUUUUGGAAACCAGAAGCAUGUGCAAGUUUACUGAGCUCCACUACUCCGAGGCCAAGUGGGCAGAACUGGUUAUCUUUUCUCCAUUCGCAUUGCACCCAAAGUGGGGGCAUGGAUCAGCCUUUGGAGCUCUUUACAUCUCUAUCAUCUGGUAUGCAUUUCAUAUGUAUUCACUUGUUUUCUUUUGGUUAGAAAUGGAUGCACAUAAUUUGAAUCAAAUGUGUUAGAAGAAUAAAAGACCUACUAACUUACCCAUUGCCAUUGGCCAUUGUAAAGGAAUUAAGACAUAGAUACCUCGUGUGACAAGCACGAUUCUCUGCCUUGCAGGCGCCAUGAAUAUUUUUUUGCUUAGUUAAUUUGAAAUAAUAUUGUGCCUUUUGUCUUAAUCCAUGUUUUAGCUAGCUUUUCUAACAGAUAGAAGAAGUUACACAAAAGUGGAAACAGGGAUCUACACAACUUAGUAAACAGGAAAGCAAUCCUAGCCUUUUGGGACAAUGGCAUGUGCAGUGCAGAUGCACCACUCUGUAGCAAGAGCUAGCAAUACCAAUGCAUAGAGCUAGCAGAAAAAUUUCCUGCCCUAGUUGAACCAAAAAUUAAAAAGGGACAGACUCAACAAAAGUAUCUGAUUAGUUUGACCAAUCUCCCCAAGUUGCACCCAAGUUUUGGGCAGGAAAGUGAGGGUGGCAGCAGGUAUGGGGUCCCAUCCAUCCCAGUGAGGAGAGGGGGAGGAAGGAAAGGAAGCUAGGUGCUCUCUUCAGAUCGCUAAUAAUUCUUUGAAAGGAGAGAUGCAUGGCUUUGGCUGGACAAGGGAGGAGCCCAUCCAUGUGUGACCAUGUGUCUGCAUGGCUAGGGCACCUGAAUAGCAACAUGUGGUUUCCAGGGGGCAGCAUGGCACAACAGUACACUUGGCUGAUGCCGUCCAGGAAUUUAAGGGGACACCUUCUCCUAUGUUGGCAGUUGGAUUUGAUGCUAAUGUGGUCCUUUUGAGCAUGCUAACAUGAGGGAAUUGCCACUUCUUCUCUGAUCAUCACUGUCAUGUAAGUAUAUGUAUAGAACAGCUUUUCUUGUGCGUCUGCAUGCCUUCCAGUUGUUGUUUUGUACCACACUUUGGCUCGG